GAAAACGAGAGGGGCGGGGCGAGCGGAGCCGAAGCGCCAUUUUUAAACAGCCGAGGCAACCGAUGCCCGCCUGAGGUGGCGGGUAAGCGAGGAAGGGAAGGAGGCAGGGCUGGGCCGGCGGGGCAGGGCUGCUCCUCAGGCGGUUGGCGCUGCCCGUUUGCUUCGCGGUUCUCGUUCUUUCGACGUGGGUCGGUCAGCCGCUUUCCUUCGUGGGGGUUGGCGGGGGGGCUGGAGGCUUCCCUUCCCCGCCCGCCUUUCGCCUUCGCGACGGCCCUCUGAGGUAGGCCGGUGAAGGAAGACCGGCGUCUCCCCCCCCAAAAAAAAACCCAGUCCCAGUGAGACGAAACACGGAAUAUUGUCAUCUAGGGCUUUUUCUUUUCUUUCCUCGCUAUCAGGAACUUUGUUCCCGCGCCUCUCAGGUGGGCGCCAUUGCCAUUAUAAGGUAGGCGUUCACGGUAAUUUGGCCUCAAGGGAUUCCCUCAGGAGAGAAAGAGGUCUCUAUGACGGUGGCAGGCUUGUGCUGACAGCUUUAUUAACAUUGUCAUCUCAUUAACAUUCAGUCAGAAUGGACACUUUUCCACAUAUCCUUUCAUCAGUCGGUGGAAGUGGAGAUCUUAGCUCACAAGCAGAAGUACAAAAACUGUUAAAUGAUGAAAGAAUGCGGUGUGAACACCAUAAAAACAAUUACCAAACUCUUAAAGCAGAACAUACAAGGCUUCAGAAUGAAUAUACAAAAUCACAAAAUGAGCUCAAACAGUUGUUACGUGAAAAGCAGACAGUUCAUGAUAAAUUUCAGUGUCUGCUCGGUGAAUUCCGAGAUGAAUUGUUGGAUAAAUCAAGAGAAGUAGAGGAGUUAAAGAAGCAGGUAAUUACUCCACAGAAGUUAGAGUUGCUUAAAACAGAAAUAAGAGACAACAUAGAAGCACCUCUGAAAGAGAACCUUCGAAAGCUAGAUAAAGAAGCAGAAAAAUGGAGAACAGAAUAUAACAAACUUCGCUAUGAACAUACUUUCCUUAAAUCAGAGUUUGAGCAUCAGAAAGAAGAACAUGCCCAUAUUUUAGAAGAGAACAAAUUAAAAUAUGAAUCUGAGAUAACGAGACUUGGCAAAGAUAAAGAAGAAUUGCAUAAUCAGCUGCUUAAUAUUGAUCCUACAAGAGAUGGCAAGCGUGUGGAAGCACUAUUAAGAGAAAAGGCUCAACUAGUUCAGAAAUUAAAGGGUUUUGAAGCAGAAGUAGCAGAACUAAGAGCUCAGAGGGAGAACUCUGGUAUGCAAGCAGAAAAUGUGCAAAGAAUACAGGUGCGACAGUUAACUGAGAUGCAAGCUACAACACGAUCCUUGGAGGCUGAAAAACAAUCCCUUAAGCUGCAGCUUGAACGCAUUGAAAAGGAACUGCAGAUGAGCAGUGAGCAAAAUACGCUCUUAAGAAGCAAGCUACAUAAAGCUGAACGAGAGAUCAGUGCCUUGACAACUAAAGUUGAAGAACUUAAGCAUUCACACAAGUUAGAAAUAACAAACAUCAAGCUGGAAGCGGCAAGAGCUAGGACUGAGAUAGAAAGAGAAAGAAACAAGAUUCAAAGUGAAAUAGAUGGUUUACACUCAGAUAAUGAAAUACGUAAGAAAACACUUGAACAGCACAAGAUGCUUUUAAUAGAAAAGGAUCGUGAAUUAGUACGCAAAGUACAAGCUGCAGAAGAAGAAGGCUUCCAAAAACUUGCAGCAUUACAGGAGGAAAAGUUAGAACUUGAAGCCAGAUUAUCUGAACUGGAGAAAAUCAAAGUGGAGCAAGAUGCUCAGAGGCAGUUGGAAAAGGAUGAGUACAAAGAAAAGUUAUCUGCUCUGCAGGUGGCAGAAGAAUCCAGCAGAAGGGAAAUCAAGGAUCUUAGGCUAAAGAUUCAACAGCAAACUAUUCAUUCUGAGGAGCUUGAAAAAGAGAGAAGUGAAAAUGCUAAUCUAAAGGGGCGCAUCCAAGAUUUGCAGCUCCAAGUGGCUUCUCUGUCACAGUCGGAGAAUAACUUGCUAGUUUCCAAUCAGAAACUGAAGGAAAUGAUGGAGAGAUUAAAACAUGAAUGUCAGAAUGCGAGAAGUCAAGCAGAAAGGGCUCAGUUAGAUUCAGAGAAAAAUUUGGAAGACAAACAUGUUGAAUGGCUAGAAGAAAAACAUAAACUUAUUCAGCGUAUUACAGAGGUAGAACAGAAGUAUAACCAGAUGAAAGAAAAAUUGCACCGGGCAGCAGUUGCUCAGAAAAAGAGGAAGACACUUAAUGACAAAAAGCAAAAGAAGUUACUGGAGAAGAUAGAGCUGUUGGAAGCCAAGAGAGAAGAACUGGAAACAGAAAACCAGGUGCUAAAUAGGCAGAAUGUUCCUUUUGAAGAACAUAUUCGCCUUCAGAAAAGACUAAAGGAUUUGCAGCGGAGACAUAACGAAUUCCGCAGGUUAAUUUUGUUUCCCAACAUCCCAGUGCUGAAUCAAGUAGGCUUAUUGUCUUCAACUCCAAUACCUGGAGCAGAGGCAUCCUUCCCUUUCUUGCCGGAGGAACAGCAUCAAAAAGAGCUUUCCCUGCUUCGCAAGCGCUUGGAAGAACUAGAAACCACCCAGAGGAAACAGCUACAAGAGCUUGAGGCCUCUACUGAACGAGCUCGGUCAGUAAUAAGCACGGACUCCAACUCUGAUAGACAUAAGCUUGUUGAAGAGUAUGGUCUACCAGCUGGGGAUGCCAAAUAAACACUUGACUCUAAAGCAUCAUAUACUUUUUGUCCUUUGCCAAAAACACACCCAGAAGUGCCUUGAAGUAGAGGAUAGUCUGCAUAAUUUUCUAUAUUUUUAAUUGUUUUUUAAAAGCAACAACAGCAAUAGAAUUCAAGAAAAAAAUGUGUGGGUUUUUGUGUGUGUGAGUUCUUCUAGUUUAGAUUAUAGGAGGAGAUCCAUCAUGUUGCACUAAAGCUUUUUUUUUCUAACAAGACUUUUCUCAAGUCACUUAGGGAGUGCAGUAGCUGUGUGGAAAAAUCCCCCUUUCCAGUUUGAUCAUGAAGUUCUCCAUCUUUCAUCAGUACUGUGAGCUUAAGGCUGGCAUCAUGUAAUUAAAAAUACUGAAACAACCCAAAACAUUAUUAGUUGAACCCUAACAACCCGAACAACUAAAGGCAGGUAAAAUUCUGGGAAUAUGAUCUCUGCCUUUAUAAAGUACUUUAUUAUCUGCACUUUAAUAUGAUUAUAAAGGAUAUCAAAAGUAAUCAAUAUUUUAAAAUGAUUAUGAAUUAUGGAUAUAUGCUUUUUACCUUUAUACCGAGAGAUGUGUGCGGUGCAAAACAAUUUUUGUUUGUUAACAAAAAAGGUGAACAAAUCUAUUUAUUAUAAUAUAUUUUUGUAAAAUCUACUUCCUUGUUGUGUGUUAUUUACUUGCAGCAGUAGUGUAAGAGCACUGAUUUUCUUAUUUUAAUAUAGGGGUAGAUAAUUAAAAUAUAGGGGUUUUUUGUUCCUACCUAAGUGCCCUUGAUUACCAUGCAAAUAAUUAAAAAUGCACCUAGUUCCUUUUCUUCGUGCAACAGUGAAAAUACCGCUUUUGUGAUGGCAUAUGUGUUGGAAGUUGCUCAGAGUUUCAUGCUGUUCACCUAAUGCCAACCUAUUUUGGGUUCUGUGUCUAAUGGGGAACAAGCCAUGCAGAAGAACGGUCAUUUUUCUGGUGGUUCUAGAUAUUAUUUCAGAUAUGAAAUAAUCUACAGUUUUGGAGACAGACUCAACACUGAUUGUAGAUGAACUAUGGUGGCUCUGCCCCUUCCUGCUGUAAUCGACAACUCUUGUCAAGCAGUCUUGCAUGACAAUUCAUUAAAUUUGUUUUCACAAGCAGUUUGGUUAAUCUUAAAACUAUCAGGUAAUCACAGAGAAUCCAAAAGCUAUGGUUAUCGUUUUGGGCUGCGGUAAAUUUUUGCUAUGUCUUGAGUAAUUGGGUCUAGGGAAGAAGUGGAAGAUUUCCUCAACAAACUGAUGUCUGGUGGAUGAAGAGAUCACCUCAAUUCCUGAAUCAUCGAUGAACAAGUAAAAGGAAUAUUCACAGUUCCUCUGACUGAUGCAAGAUACUACGGUUAUCAAGCCAAUCAAAGGUUCUACAAGCAACAACACAGCUUGACACCUACAUGAGUUUCAUAAGCUAAGGUAGAGGUUAAUAUCAGAGGUGCACUUUACAAAGCAGUUCCGUCAUGAAAAAAUACCUGCAUUGUUCCUGGUAAGACAACUAUCCUAUAGUGUUGACCACUGUUUGUGACUCUUCCCAUUCAUUUGUAUUGCCUGCAGAAGUGACCUGCUAAUUUGCUUCCCAAUGCCAAGAUAGUUGUAUUAAUUUCAUUGAUUGUCACAGUCUGCACUUCUAGCAUUUCUAACCUGCCAACUCGGCAUAACACUUCAUGCUUCUGCUAAAAUGGACGGUGGGCCAUGAAAGCUUGUGUGUACUACUGUAGCUACCCCAGCUGGAAAACGUGAUGCAUGUACUUGCAAAGCUAUGUAGAAUUUAUUUUUAUAAUCCUUCCAUUUACCAUUAAAAAAAAUAUAAACAACUGCAGGUACAAAAAAAAUCAAGAGCACCCUUUUCUGCCUCAGAAGAGUCAAUUAAAAAUACCUUAAUACUUAGUGGUCCCUGAGUUUGUUUUGAAACUUAUCUAUUGUCUAUGCAGGGGGAAGAAAUGUUUAGAACAUACAUAAUGCUGGACACAGCUAUAGCAAUUGAAAAUUCCAGUGGGAUGUGAGCCAGCCAAUCCAUUCUGCAUGCUUCUCCACAAGAAGCUACUGGUUCCAGUCAUUUCCAUCAAAACAUCUGCAUUUGAAAAGUUUUCUCCUCUGACUAGUACUUCACUGCUGCCUAAUGUUGAUAUCCACAUUGGUUCAAUGGACGUAAUGUGCAUGGGCUGUUGGAAACAGAGUAAAACAAGAUUUCAAUAUCCAGUCAUGCACUUUUAACAUGUUUAACUUGUACCUUUCUUGUUAAUGGGUAGAUAUUAAGUGUUGUUCCAUGCUCUGUAAUUUCCAUUGGUUUUCAUAUUCUUCAGGAUGGAAUAUAAAAACAAAAGAUAGAAGGGCAUAACCAAAUCCACAAGCGCCUAUGGCCUGGUGGAGACAUAAGUAUAUUGCCCCAGAUGAGAGAUAGGGAGGAAUGGAUGCGAUGAAAUGAUGGGCACAAGCACUGGCGGAGGAAGAGGAGUGGGGGGGGAGGGCACCGCCCCCAGCAGCACGAUCCCGGUGGAGUGCCAUCACCCCCCCCGUCCGUGCUGGGCACCACACCCCUGCAGACAGCAUGCCCUGCCCCCAGGACACGCGCCAGCCCCGCCCCCCGGUGCCGGAGCAUGAAGCUCUGCCACUGGGUACAAGAAGACUGUUGGGUGAUUGCACAUAUGGGGACUACAUGUUUAUAUCAAUUUUGGGCAGUGUGAAUGUGUAGGUUAAUGAUUUUCGGUGAUUGUAUUAUGUGAUUUUUAUAAUAUCAUUUGAGAUCUUUUAAUGAUGAUAUGUCAUUAUGCUGCACUUGGAUGUUUUUGUAUAUGAUUUGCUUUUAUGGUUCUUAUUUAUGUUUACAUUUAAUUAUGCUAAUUAAAAUGUGGAAUUGUU